GAGACACCUCACACUCACAUGCUACCGAUCCCCUGAAUUAGUCUGAAUUAGCCUCAAUAUUCAGUUACUGACUAUGCUACUACAUACUACUACAUUUUUAACCAAGCAGCCUUCACCCAGUGUUCAUAGUCAUGUCAGAGGUGUCUUGUGCACAGAAAAAGAGGUAAAGAACAUAUCUGUUUUCCCUUGCUCAGACCAUAAACUUGUCUGAAUGGUUGUUUAAUUCUGUGUUUGUGCAACAUCUAGCACAGAGGAACUCUAAUUCUUGACAGGGGAUUCUAAUUAUUCUUUGUUUAAACAAUAUAAAAACCAUUCUAGGAAGACUUUAUGUUUCCCAGUGUAAAACUCCAUUGAUAGUGCAAUAAUAUGCAAUAGUGUUAGAGAGCAAACAUUCAGAGGAAACCUCGUCCAGACCAGCCGCACAGCUAGCAAAGGCUUCCUUCAUCUCAGAGGCGUGCUCUGAGCCCUCUCCAUGCAUCUAACCAAUGAGAUGACCCAUUUGGUGAGGCAGGACGGCCACAAACCUCACACCAUGGAGCUGUUCCAAGCUCACACAGGCCCUUUCAUGAGCAUCUUGCCAGCAGCCUUUUGGAUAACACGGAAGAGGCAGCUGGCAUCUCUGUGCUGAGUACGAGCAAGACAGCACAUCGUAGAGAGAGAUGAUUCUUCAAUGCGUUGCCUCAAUGCAACUAGCAGGAAUAAGCACUCCCACCAAACUGAGAAAGUUUUUUUGGUCUCACUUUUUCCCCCUGACCAGUGGUUGCUUAGGAGAUGCGAGAAGGAUUGGCCUGCAGCCACUUCCCUCUUCUGACUUCCCCAAGAUAGCGCUGCAGCCCCUUACCUACAAGCAAGCCAGUGGACGAUUGCUUGAAAUCAAGGAGAUUUCACACUCAGGCCCCUUUUGUGACCUUCUGUGACAGCAAGGCCAGCUGGAGAAACUCCUUAAAUCCAACUGGACAGGAAACAGAGAAACUUACUGGCCAAGAGGAUCAGGGGAAGAGGUGUAUUAAUGGAACACUGAGAAGCUCAAGGAUGGCAAGAAAAGGGCUGCUGAGGUGGCGCUAAUUCUCUCAGGGACCCUUGGCAAAAACCUGCAUUGAGUUGUUGUGUGGUGGACCCUGUCCUGGGAGGAGCCUCUUGCAGGAACCCUUGUUUAGGUGUGAAAUGGAGUAGGAGCAAUAGGACGACAGCUAGUGAGGAAUCAUAGCUGCCUAACUUUUCUUUUAAUUGUGAGGUAGUAAUUCUAAAAUUAAAAAAAAAAAAUAGUGCUUUUAUUUUAAUUGUGAAGUAAUUUUCUUUUAAUUGUGAAACAUUUAAAUGAUGUAGACAUUCCUUUUAGAAAGUAAAGAUGUUUGAAAAAUUAAUGUGAAAUGUUGACACGUUGUUUUAAGGUCUGAUCUCACAUCACUGAAGAGAAGCAAGUCAUCAGAACAAAGUCUAGGAGAUGUUUGCUGAAAUCAAAAAACUGUUUUCUCUACAAUUUGUAGCCUUUCCUUGCGGUUCUGGAGGAGACUUCCUUAAAACUUUUAUAUAUAUAUGUAUAUAUUCAGUUCAAUCAUUAAUGUCUGAUCAGCACUAAGAAAUACAUAGCAUGUUGGAAAAACAAGGAAAACUAGGUUUACUUUUUGGUCUCAGUACAAAUGAGAUGUGAGGUGCUGUGAUCUAUUAGCUCUAAAACCUUGUGGGACAUAUUGACCAAAAUGAAACAAUUGAAUUCACUACCUGCUGAUAACAUGUUUUUCUCUUAAUCAGUUUUGAUCAAUUUGUCUUGCAUAUCCUGCGCAGUUACUGUACAGCUUUAUUAUCUAAUAAAAGGCAGAAUUAAAAUGCUGGCUUUCA
rnacentral:lncRNA from 1 species